rnacentral:lncRNA from 1 species
AAGGUCAAGAAUACCUGUUACAACAGGAAGUUGGAAAGUGGUCAAGCCCAAAAUCACAAAAGAUAGCAUCUUCCCACGUCCAGAUGGACUGCUCUAUAUGCCUGGUCUUCACCUGUGACAUUUUGUGACCAGAAGAGAAAGGCCAAGAGAAACAAACAUCAGCUUCUCUAAGCUAUUUAUAGCCAGGAUGAUAGAAUCACAAGGUUCUCAAGGUUCAUAGGUGAUGGGCUGCUCUCAAAAGGAGCUUUGUUGUGAAAACGUACCAAAAGAAAAUGGAUGAGUGAUUCUCCAAUACGUUGCUUUUCAAUCCUAUGACAUCCUCACCUCUGCCCUAUGGGUAGAUUCUUUGAUGUCUGAAAAGUUUCUGUACAUAAAGAGGAACAUCCAUUACUAUUGUUUAAUGCCC